rnacentral:rRNA from 1 species
GAUGAACGCUAGCGGCAGGCCUAAUACAUGCAAGUCGAGGGGUAUCCCGCUUUCGGGCGGGAGAGACCGGCGCACGGGUGCGUAACGCGUAUGCAACCUACCCAUAUCUGGGGGAUAGCCCGGAGAAAUCCGGAUUAACACCGCAUAAAAUCACAGUACGGCAUCGUACAAUGAUCAAAUAUUGAUAGGAUAUGGAUGGGCAUGCGUGUCAUUAGCUGGUUGGCGGGGUAACGGCCCACCAAGGCGACGAUGACUAGGGGAUCUGAGAGGAUGGCCCCCCACACUGGUACUGGGACACGGACCAGACUCCUACGGGAGGCAGCAGUAAGGAAUAUUGGUCAAUGGGCGGAAGCCUGAACCAGCCAUGCCGCGUGCAGGAAGACGGCCCUCUGGGUUGUAAACUGCUUUUAUUCGGGAAUAAACCUGCAUACGUGUAUGCAGCUGAACGUACCGAAGGAAUAAGGAUCGGCUAACUCCGUGCCAGCCGCCGCAGUAA